rnacentral:lncRNA from 1 species
AAGCAUUGUAUCAAUGAACCAUCGUUCUUAAAAUAUGAAUACAUAUGGGCCGUCAAGGCCUCUGACAUAUUAUACAAAAUGAACCUUUAUGUGUCUACAAAGCCUCUAAGAUUAUUUGAUAUCAAAUGGGACAGGGUACCGGCCUACCCAUAAGUCUGUAGCAAAACUUUGAGACGAUGACUCACAGACUCGGCUGCACUCCUAAUGAGGUGGAGUCUUACCGAUCCUUCACUGAAUGCUAACCUCGACUACUAUGAGGCUCAUCAAACUGAUUAUCUAUACCUGCAGGCAUGAAUGUAGCGUCCCCAACAAAAUGACGUCAGUACGAAUAAUGUACUGAGUAUGUAAGACAUCUAAAUAAAUAUAUAAAGAGUAUGGAAAAAACAUGGUGUAAAGGACUCAACCUGUAAGUCCGGAUAACUCUGUAUAUCAUUUAAUACUUAUAGUGUCAUGCAUAUGCAUAUGAAUAUUAUGUCGUGCAUAGGUAAAUGUGUUCAUAACAUCAUCAAGCUUCUAAGGGCAUCCCAUCAUAUAAUCUCAGCCACUAUGGGCAAAAUCAUCGUCGUAUACCAACUGAUCAGAUGGUGGUGUGUAUAUAACGCCAUAACCUUUCCCAUAUCCCAUAUAUAUAUACUUAUAUAUACGUGUAUAUAACGCCAUAACAUCAUCACACCUCUGAGGGUGUCCCAUCAUAUCAUCUCGGCCACUGUGGAAAAUCAUCAACGUAUACCAGCUGAUCAGGUGGUGGUGCGUAUAUAACGCCAUAACCUUUUCCCAUAUUCCAUGUAUAUAUAUAUAUAUAUAUAUAUGCGUAUAUAACGUCGUCUGGGUCAUGGGUAAAUGCACAUGUGAAUGAAUGCAAUGCAUGAGAAGUACGUUAAUAAAAUCUCUCGAAAUAUCAUAACACCAUUAUCCCUUUGAUUAAAAUCAAUCAAGUUUUUCACUGCAUAUUCAGCCAAGUCAGUACGCCCAUGAAUUUUGCAGCCGUUAGGCAAGGUACCCCAUGUAACUGAAAAGGACAUUGAGGUUAAAGUAAACAAAGAAAUGUCUUCAUGAGCAGUAUAUGAAAGAUGCAAUGUCUCUAGACGACUUCCUUCACAGAAAGCUUGAGUUCCAAUAUAAAACCAUCCUUACAAGUUAAAACACAGUUUAAAUUACCAAACUCUUUUCUUUGGGAAAGGUGGUGCAUGUGCCAACUUAUGUGCACCUUGACUAAAUUUAUCUGGUACCUGCUACCUCCCGCUAACACAAGUAUCUGGUGACUCUGUUCACCAAGGCUUAAGACAAAUGAGAAGAAAUAACCUAGAGUUAUGUGUCUCCAAUGAGAUUGGAACAAGAAACCUAAGAAUCUUAGGUUUUGAAAAUUGUCACACUCUUAAUGGACGCACAUUACAAAUCUUUGAAGUAUUUGGGAAAAUAUUAAACGUCCAACACUUCAUUAGAAGACUCAAACAUGUGUAUUGGGAAUACAAUUUAAAUUUCUAAUUAUUGUAUUCUGGAUUAAUUGAAUGAUUGUCAUUGUUUGGACAACAUAGAAUGAUAAGGUUCAUUUUAUAGAACUAGAUACUACCUGCUUUAACAUAAUUUUCGCUCGAGAAAAUAAGAAACUAUGUCUCUAGAUUUAGAAAUACUAAUAGAAAGAUGAAAUCAAGUUCCACCUACACUUUAUAUAAACAGUAGAAAGAACAAUUUUGUUCAUGAAUUGUAACAAGCCUAAAAUGACUAAAUCUGUAUCAAGCAGUAGAAGUGAGAAGAUAAAAUGUGGUAGUGUGGCGUAGAACAACCAUUAUCUCAACAGCACCCCCCUUCUUUUGGGGUAAGUCAUGAUGAUAAUAGCUUUUCCAAACCAGAUUGUGAAUGUCAACAAAAGAAACAUGAACUUACGAACAGCAUGCAAGCCGAGUAGGCUGUUGAAGACACUAACAUUCAAAGAUUACAAACUUUUAUUGGCAUUGAAGCAAAGCCCCAGAGAUAUACAUCUCAAUAAGCCAAAACUCGAGGGCAUAAGAUGAAUAGAACAAACCUGAAAUAAUUGUCAUUGAAUGAAUUUUCGAAUUAACCAGCUUCUCGCAGACAGGAAAAAUCCCUUGAAGUUUAAAUUGAAGCCAUUAUUAUAUUAUAUAUGGUGAUCUAAUUUUGUAAAAAGCUUUCAUCUUCUAACAAUGUGACACCCAUUCUAAAUGACUAAUGAGUCAUUAAUUUGAAGGUGAGGGGGCUGCCACGUGGGGAUGAGGUGGGUAAGUUUAAUCUUUAUCCACUUAUUAGGUAAUUAGGAAAUAUUCCGUUACCCGAUAAUUAAGCAAUUUCCCGCAUAAUUAAGAAAUGUCUCAAAUUACUUAAAACUUUACAUAUUUUAAUACACUUUAUACAUCACACUAUCAUGGUCAUGUGGUACCAUAUAAAAUAAAUAUAUACACUAUUAUUUCAUUAAAACAUCCAUGUAAAAAUACAUAUAUUUUCUCAAUAUUCUAUUUUUCCUAGUCUCAUAUAAAGAGUACAAAUUUUUCAUAUGCUUAAUUUUUAAAUGGUAAAAUAUAACCUUAUUUCCUUGUGAGAAUAUAAUUUAUAUCUUUACAAUAAUGAAAUUCUUUGUAUACUAUAAAUUCUCAAAACGGAAAAAGGAUAACUUUUCUUAUGAUAAAAUACUAUCUACUCUUAUAAUAAAUAAAACCUCAUUUAUAAACUCCCACAUGUCAUAUAUUUAAUUUAAAACUUAUCACAACCAUAUAAAAUCGUAUCAAUCAACUUUUACCGAAAAUGAUUUACUUCAAAGAAAAUACAUAUCAAGUCAAAAUAUAGUAGUUCCGAAAUUCUUCAAACUUACAGGGUCUUACAUCCCUAUCUUCAUGUACCUUAAUCCCUUCCAAAUCAUAUGUUAUUACUUCGACGAAUCCUAACUUUAAAGUACAGGAUGUAACAUCCUUCCCCCCUUUAGAACAUUCAUCCUCGAAUGUUAACUCUUAGAGAUUUGCAAAAUUUUCAAUAGGGUAUCCUCUGUAAAUUGAACUUAAAACCCAAUCUAUUUCUGAAGUCUCGACUAUUCACAACCUUGAGUAUCUUGUAUCUUCUUCACCUUUACCUUACUUACUUUUCAAUUUCGCAUCGUAUCUUCUAUUUCUUUUAUAACAUCCCUUUCACAUAAGUAGAAAUUACAUCUACGCCUUAAAGCUCUAUUAUGAUAGCACCUCUAGUGCAUACGAAACCUGGUGAAAACUUCAUAUUGACUUCUUACGGCUCAGUUCUAUGGCACAAUCGGGAAACAAAAGAAGGGUAACAUUUCCUAAAUACCUUAUAGCCUCUCCAUUAUAAAUGUGGCGCGCAACACAUCCAUAAGUGAGACUCUACUAGGCACGACUUUGUAGACUCCCUAGGACACGACUCGUUCUGAUACCACUUUGUCACGCCCCAAACCUGGGGAGGCGUGGCUGACACCCGGUGCCGUACUGGACCGAGCGAACCACUCUGCAACUCCUUUUUCUUCUUCUGCAACUAUCAUGGGCCAACAUGGCCACAACUCGUAAUGUAUAACUAUAAGUGGGCAAGCAUUGUAUCAAUGAACCAUCGUUCUUAAAAUAUGAAUACAUAUGAGCCAUCAAGGCAUCUGACAUAUUAUACAAAAUAAACCUUUGUGUGUCUACAAAGCCUCUAAGAGUAUUUGACAUCAAAUGGGACAGGGUACCGGCCUACCCAUAAGUCUGUAACAAAACUUUGAGACGAUGACUCACAGACUCGGCUGUACUCCGAAUGAGGUGGAGUCUUACCGAUCCUUCGCUGAAUGCUAACCUAGACUACUAUGAGGGAUCAUCAAACUGAUUAUCUAUACCUGCAGACAUGAAUGCAGCGUCCCCAACAAAAGGACAUCAAUACGAAUAAUGUAUUGAGUAUAUGAGGCAUCUAAAUAAAUAUAUAAAGAGUAUGGAAGAAACAUGGAGUAAAGGACUCAACCUGUAAGUCUGGAUAACUCUGUAUAUCAUUUAAUACUUAUAGUGUCAUGCAUAUGCGUAUGAAUGUUAUGUCGUGCAUAGGUACAUGUGUUCAUAACAUCAUCAAGCCUCUGAGGGCAUCCCAUCAUAUCAUCUCAGCCACUAUGGGCAAAAUCAUCAUCGUAUACCAGCUGAUCAGAUGGUGAUGCGUAUAUAACGCCAUAACCUUUCCCAUAUCUCAUAAACAAACCAGAUUGUGAAUGUCAACAAAAUAAACAUGAACUUACGAACAGCAUGCAAGCUGAGUAGGCUGUUGAAGACACUUACAUUCAAAGAUUACAAACUUUUAUUGGCAUUGAAGCAAAGCCCCAGAGAUAUAUAUCUCAAUAAGCCAAAACUUGAGGGCAUAAGAUGAACAGAACAAACCUGAAGUAAUUGUCAUUGAUUGAAUUUUCGAAUUAACCAGCUUCUCGCAGACAGGAAAAAUCCCUUGAAGUUUAAAUUGAAGCCAUUAUUAUACUAUAUAUGGUGACCUAAUUUAGUAAAAAGCUUUCAUCUUCUAACAGUGUGACACCCAUUCUAAAUGACUAAUGAGUCAUUAAUUUGAAGGUGAGGGGCCUGCCACGUGGGGAUGAGGUGGGUAAGUUUAAUCUUUAUCCACUUAUUAGGUAAUUAGGAAAUAUUCCGUUACCCGAUAAUUAAGCAAUUUCCCGCAUAAUUAAGAAAUGUCUCAAAUUACUUAAAACUCUACUUAUUUUUAAUAUACUUUAUACAUCAUACUAUCAUGGUCAUGUGGUACCAUAUAAAUAAAUAUAUACAUUUCAUUAAAACAUCCAUGUAAAAAUACAUAUAUUUUCUCAAUAUUUUAAUUUUCCUAGUCUCAUAUAAAGAGUAAAUGUUUUUCAUAUGCUUAAUUUUAAAUGGUAAAAUAUAACCUUAUUUUCUUGUGAGAAUAUAAUUUAUAUCUUUACAAUAAUGAAAUUCUUUUUAUACUAUAAAUUCUCAAAACGGAAAAAGGAUAACUUUUCUUAUGAUAAAAUACUAUCUACUCUUAUAAUAAAUAAAACCUCAUUUAUAACCUCCCGCAUGUCAUGUAUUUAAUUUAAAACUUAUCACAACCAUAUAAAAUCGUAUCUAUCAACUUUUACCGAAAAUGAUUUAGUUCAAAGAAAAUACAUAUCAAGCCAAUAUAUAGUAGUUCUGAAAUUCUUCAAACUUACAGGGUCAUACACCCCUAUCAUCAUGUACCUUAAUCCCUUCCAACUCAUUUGUUAUUUAUUCAACGAAUCCUAACGUUAAAGUACGGGAUGUAACAGCUCUGAAUUCAGUUCAAGCCCCAAAAAUAAUAUGUUUCUUUUAAUACUUCAGUUCAUCAUGUUCCUGAUUUGUUUUUACCUAUGGUUUUGUUGUUCAACAUGUAAUUAAUCUCUUUGCUUCAACAUGCUCUCAUGAACUAGUAACUUGACUCUACUCUGUUUGAUGCAUGUCUACUAGUUCUAGUAUGCACUUGUUGGGCUAUUGCCCAAGUUGUUUUAAUAUUAUGCUCAGUCAUGUUUAGUAUAAAAUCCUAUACUCUACUAUCUCCCAACUCUCAUAAAUCCCCCUAGGCAUCUCUGGUUUUGUAAUUGUGUUCUAAUUAAUACUCCUGAAUCUAUGUCUUACUACCUGCACUAAGAGCAAAGGACUUCUGCCUAUUAUGUGUUUAUCAUACCUGCCUUAUUUGUCCACAACCCCUAAUUGACCUUAUGUGGAGACUUGUUCCCCGAGUGUUUGCUGAACUUGCUUGACUGACCUGCUGUUUGUUGAGUUACAUGACUGUUCUCAAAAGCUAUUUUACUAAACAACCCUCUUAUUUACAAAACUAUUUCAAGCAAAUCUCUUUAACACUGUUUUCCCACUAAAACCUUUCAAACUGUGUCAAGCAUUCUCACUCUACUCCUAAGUCAUUAGGUUCUACCCCCUCCAGUAUGUGUACUGCCUUGGGAUUCUCUUGAGAACCCUCUGAACUCUGACACACUGAGGUUGGCCCUUCCACACUGUACUUACUCAAUUUGGUUACCAAGUCUAGGUGUGAGCACUGUCUGGGAUCCUUGAGAUACUUAGGGAACUCUGACGCACCUAGACAAUGAUAUUGUCUAUGAAAUUGGGCAUUUGAGGCUAUUAGAGGUUUUGGAAAAUCACUUGGGCCUGAUACAGACUCCCUAUAAUGUAACGUCUUCUUUUCCUUUUAUCUAUUUAUGAAAUUUAUUCAUAUGGUCGGUAAUAAUUUGUAAACGGAUAUUGGGGUAACUAGUGGAAAAGGGUGGGUAGUUACAUAUUUGUGGGGUAAUACGGAUAGAAACCAUGCUUAUAGGACUUGAUAUUUUGCUAUAUUUUACCUUACCAUGUUAGAAAUCAUUCCUAUAGGUUUCAAGUGGUUCCAAUAAUAGAAAUCAUGAUUAUAGGUCUUAAAAUCAGCUUCACAAGUAGAUACAAUGUCUAUAGGAUAUGAUCCAGCUCAACUUCUGUUAUAACGAGUGUUUACAUGUGUUUUUUAUUUGUUGUCACGCCUACAAGUUUCUAACAUCAGUACUUAAAUAAUUAGAUGUCAUGCCUAUAAGAAACAAUAUCAGAAACUCUGCCUAGAUCUAAAAUCAGUUUAGUUUAAAUAAGUCAAUCCAAUUCUUGAGUAGUUUGCUUCGAAACUAGUCUAAUUAAAGGUUUGUUUUUUCCUGAAACUAGUCUAUAGGGACUUAAGAGUCAAUCUUAAAUCUGCCCCUAUUUUAUAAAACGUAGUUAUCAUUAUUCCGCAUGUACGCAAGCCUAUAGGACAUUUUCAAAUCCUGUAACUCUGAAACUGUCUCUGUUACUUAAUGUUGUCCUGACUUAACAGGUUUAAAAUCAGUAGGCAAACUGAUAGGGCCAUUACUUCUGAGUUUAUAAAAUAAAAUGCCUAUCUUCUGUGUCUUGAUAUUCACUUAGACAUCCUGCCUUAGGAUACUGUUUAACAAAAGGCCCUUAUCUGUAUCUGAGUCAUGCUGCCUAUGUGCAUUGUUUUGUGGAGGUAAACUUGAGCCUCUAAUUGCUCCCCUUUUGUCUUAUGUGCUAAAGUCCUAAUUGUUCUUGCAUGUCGCCUAAGCAUUUUCUCCUUUAAGCCUUAGGGGUCUGUCUAGAACUACCUAUAGGUAGGGGUCCUAAAUUUCCUCCAGGACCAUUAAGAAGGGACGGGUAACAACAUGCAAUAGAGAUCAUUGACCAACACGCGCUUUAAUAACCACUAAGGGGGUAAUAAGGGUAGAUAUGGGAUAUGAUGACUACGCGCUAAUAUCACGUGUAGCCCCUCAUUGAGGAGUGUUUACCGGACAUUGUGUGGGGUGAUCCUAUAGGCUAACCAACCUAGGACUGCUCCUCUCCCAAAAUUCCUUUUGUUAAAACUUUGUUUCAUAUGUGUACAACUUGUUCAAAAUCUUUGCCUUAUUAAUUGAGUGAUACAACGUGCUUUACUUGCAAAUUAUUUGAUUCAACUAUUUAUUUGUUAAUGGACUAAUUCGUAAAUAUAAGUUCGGUCGGGACCCACCGUUGUGGACCACGAGGGGUGCCUAACACCUUCCCCUCAAGGUUAUUUCGAGCCCUUACCCUAAUCUUUGAUAAUGCAAACUAGUCCAUGAGUUAAUUACUCUAGGUGCCCUGACGUACCUUAAUUCUUUAGGUGGCGACUAUUCAAAUACUCAAUUCCCAAAAGGAAAUGAGUUAUUUCCCCCAUAAAUGUCGAAACUCGGACUUCCCCAUAAAAAAAGGAGGUAAAAAAGGGAUGCGACACACAUCAAGGGCAACACUCCGUUCUACACAAGGAAAAAUGAAUAAAUGAGAGAGUCUUAUUGGGAAAAACCCUCACGGGCACUGUAAGGUGAUGGAAAACUGAGAGAAAACUAAAAUGAGAGAGUCUUAUUGGUAAAAACCCUCGCAUGCACCGUAAGGAGAUAGUGAGUCGAGAGAUGAACAAAUGAGAGAGGUCUGUUGGUGAAAACUUGUCAAGGCACUGCAAGCCGAAUGAGGCACGUGACUUUGCAAAGAGAUUGGAUUAUAGAAAAUCUCGGUUUCGAAGUAUGAAGACAGGGCACAAUAUGAUUAGGUGAACGGUCUGGGCUGAUUAAUCCAAAAUGCAUGUCAUGAUCAUUGGUGCCAGCUACUUCGAUCAGAUAAGUCUCUUUUCCAUUCUUCCUCAAAUAGUCAUCUUGUUUCAAAUUUUCCUCUUUAUUCCUAAUUCUCGAAGUCACUUCUUUUUUAUUUUCUUUUGGGUCUACUUUUCUAAGUCUUUUCCAAUGUUAGCCUUGUUAAGCAAGCAAGAAAGGAUUUCAAAGCUUAUUAUUAACUUUCAGAUUGCACAAAACAAAGUGCUGCCAAAGCAUACCAGAAAUAACACGUUUCAAAAUGAGAAAUAAGGUGUUAAUGGGAGUUCAAGUGGUCAUUUGAUUUCGUGAAUUUUGAGGGAAUAUAAAGGUUCAAAUUGGAAGGACAGAAAUAUAAAAUAGCAGGAUGAGUAUGAGGCACUCGGGUCAUUCAAAGUUCUGUGGUUAAGGUUUGAUCAGAAGGUCAAACAAUUCUUUGCUAGCCCAAGGCGGCUAAUCCGAACAAAGCGGUAGUGGAAAAGUCACCUUCAACAAGAAUGCCACAAACUACCCACCACAUUUUCAAACUGAUAAGAUUUUCUUUGAUUGAAACAGGGGCAGGACAUUUUGUUUGUUCCGGAGGAACCCUAGUGAGGAAAGCAGGUGCUAGACAGGUUCAGUUGUAAAUUUUCAAGACCCUCCUGGAUAAUGGGAUUUAAUUUAAAGUUCUCAGGACCCUCAUGGAUAAUGAGAUUUAAUUUAAAGUUUUCAGGACCCUCCUAGAUAAUGGGAUGUAGUUUUAAGUUGUCAGGACUCUCCUGGAUAAUGAGAUUUAAUUUCGAGUUUUCAGGCCCCUCUUGAAUAAUGGGAUGUAUUUUUAAGUUGUCAGGACCCUCCUGGAUAAUGGGAUUUAAUUUCGAGUUCUCAGGACCCUCUUGGAUAAUAAGAUUUAGUUUCAAGUUUUCAGGGCCCUCCUGGAUAAUGGAAUUUAAGUUCAAGUUUUCAGGACCCUCCUGGAUAAUGGGAUUUAGUUUAAGUUUUACCUUUAGGAAAUAGAAUUCAGCUUUCAGGUUUUCAUUUUUAAGAUGAGAUUUAAUUUUAGUUCUCAGGGCCCUCCAGGAUAAUGGGAUUUUCAACUUUUAAAUUCUUAGGUUUCUUUUGGAUAACAUGAUUCGAUUAACACUCACAGAUAUUCCCAGUACCAAACUGGGGCAGAAAAGUUUGUUUUGUUUUGUCUGUUUUGUUGUAAUGACAGGCACCCACCUGGAGAACAAGGGAAUUCAUUUCAAAGUUCAGCAUCAGGCACCCACCUGGAAAAUAAGGGAAAAUUCAUUUCAAAGUUCAGCAUCAGGCGCCCACCUGGAAAAUAAGGGAAUUCAUUUCAAGUUUUGGCAUCAGGCGCCCACCUGAAAAACAAGGGAAUUCAUUUCGAGUUUAAGCAUCAGGCGCCCACCUAGAUAACAAGGGAAUACAUUUCAAGUUUCGGAUCAGGCGCCCACCUGGAAAACAAGGAAAUGCAUUUCAAGUUUUGCUAUCAGGCGCCCACCUGGAUAACAAGGGAAUACAUUUCAAAGUUUUAGCAUCAGGUGCCCCCUGGAUAACAAAGGAAUACAUUUCAAGUUUUAGCAUCAGGCGCCCACCUGUAUAAUAAGGGAAUAUGUUUCAAGUUUUGGCAUCGGGCACUCACCUGGAUAACAAGGGAAUACAUUUCAAGUUUUUGCAUCAGGCGCACACCAAGAUAACAUGGGAAUACAUUUCAAGUUCUUGCAUCAGGCGCCCACCUAGAUAACAAGGGAAUACAUUUCAAGUUUUUCCAUCAGGCGCCCACCUAGAAAAUAAGGGAAUUCAUUUCAGAACUCAAUUCGAGUUAGCAACAACAGAAGCUCGUCUCGAUGGUGCGAGUCAAUAGUUCAAGAUGCACGGCGGAACAACAGAAGUUUCAAGAUCAAGUUUGAAGAUACAUAGAUAUGAUUCUUGUAACUCAUAGAUCAUAGUUUAGCCUAGCUUCUUUUCAUUUUGNNNNNNNNNNNNNNNNNNNNNNNNNNNNNNNNNNNNNNNNNNNNNNNNNNNNNNNNNNNNNNNNNNNNNNNNNNNNNNNNNNNNNNNNNNNNNNNNNNNNNNNNNNNNNNNNNNNNNNNNNNNNNNNNNNNNNNNNNNNNNNNNNNNNNNNNNNNNNNNNNNNNNNNNNNNNNNNNNNNNNNNNNNNNNNNNNNNNNNNNNNNNNNNNNNNNNNNNNNNNNNNNNNNNNNNNNNNNNNNNNNNNNNNNNNNNNNNNNNNNNNNNNNNNNNNNNNNNNNNNNNNNNNNNNNNNNNNNNNNNNNNNNNNNNNNNNNNNNNNNNNNNNNNNNNNNNNNNNNNNNNNNNNNNNNNNNNNNNNNNNNNNNNNNNNNNNNNNNNNNNNNNNNNNNNNNNNNNNNNNNNNNNNNNNNNNNNNNNNNNNNNNNNNNNNNNNNNNNNNNNNNNNNNNNNNNNNNNNNNNNNNNNNNNNNNNNNNNNNNNNNNNNNNNNNNNNNNNNNNNNNNNNNNNNNNNNNNNNNNNUUUUGGUGUAAUAAGGAGUUCAACAAGCAAUAGCAACGGCAGCAGUAGUGAAAUCACAGCUUCUCGGUAGUCCCAGCUACCAAAACUUCUAGUACUACAAUGACCUGAUUCCUUUAUAGCCAAAGAUAUGUAGGCAACCUCUAAAGCAAGGUUCGGUCAGACUUUUUCCAAAAGAUGUUUCCCAUAGAGUUUCAAACGGGCAAAAAUUCCUCGUAAUUGCUCAUUUUAUCUUUGCUCGAAAACUCUUUGUGUUUCCUUGCAAAGAGGGGCAGCUGUGAGCAUGUGAUUUUUGCCCUAUAUGAAAUACUCCUAUAAAAAUAAAGAAAAUAGAUUUUUUCCAGAUUAUUUGCAAUUUUAUAGGAUUUUGCAGGAUUAUUUUAUUAAUUGUUUGCAUUUUUGUGCACGUCUAAUUCUGUUAAAAUCAUGAAAAAUGUCAAAAAUAUCAUGCAUUGUAUUUAGAUUUAGUGUUUAUAUUUUAGGAUUAAUUAGUUAAUUAAUUUCUUUAUUAAAAUGAAAAUCACAAAAAAAAUCUUUCAUUUUACAUUUUUUAGCCUUUAAUGCUAAUUUAGUAAUUUUUUUUCUUUAAUGUAGGAUCAAUUAUUUUUUUGUAAAUAUUAUAAUUAGAUAAUUAGCUUAAUUUUGUAAACUAGAUUAAUUUAAGAUUUAAUUUAGGAUCUUAAUUAAUUAAUAAAAGAAAAAAAAAACAAAAGAAGAAAGGAAAUUUGGAAAAAAGGUUUGUUUUGGACUCAAUUUGGGCCAAAUAUGUUAAGCCCAAUUAAUUUUGACUCAGAUCCGACCCAGCCCAAUCCCUCUUACCCGGUCCAGCCCCUUUAACAUUAAACGACGUCGUUCCCCUAAGUUUCAAUCCCAGCCGUUGAUCGUCCCAGAUCCAACGGCUGGGAACUGGUCGUCAACUUACUAUAAGACUGUCCGAAGCAGCCCCCCGAACCCCCCCCCCCAUCACUUGGUCUAUGACCAAACCCUAGAGAAGCCAGCUGCCCUAAAAUUCCCCCCACCGUCUCUGCCUUAUUCCGCCGCCGGAAAUCACCCCACGGUGGCGGCGACACUCCAAACUUUCCCAAAUUAGUACCAUACAACCCAUGUCCUCUUAUCUUUCUAAAUCCACCAUUAGUUUCCCAAAAAUCCCCACCUAUUUUAUUUAAAUCUAGAUCUAAGACUUUACACUAAAUCCACUAUAAUUCCAAGUCCUUGCCUCCUAGGGCUCUAUUUUACUCGAGACUUGCGUUAAGCAAUUCUUCUUGUUAAGAACAAUUGACUAACGCUAGUCUUGACUUGUUUCGAGGGUCGCCGGCUUCCGACCAAGGUCACUGAUGCCCAACAAAGUUCGUCACUCUCAUCAUUCGUUGACCUGCUUUAGGCGUCAUGUUCAUUUUGGUUAAAAACCAGUAACCUCCUCUUUACUUUCUUUGUUUGGUUUUGUUUUUCUGAUUUUACUUUUCUUUUAUUUAAUUUUAUUUUAUUAUCUACCUAUUUAGUUUAAUUUGGAUUCUUAACUGUUUAGGCUAGAUUUUUCAUAAUUUUCUUUUCUUAUGUUAGUUCUUCUUUUUUUUCCUGUUCUUUUUUCUUUAUUCUGGUAUUUAAUUGCAUGUUUUAGGUUAUUUAGGAUAUUUUGUGUUAUUUUUAUCAGUUUGAUUUAAAUGCUCCAUGUCAGUUCAUCCUUUGUUGUUUGUCUCUUAAACUUAAUUUGAUUUAUAUAAUAUUUUAUUGUGGUUUAGGUAGCCGUUUGAAUUAGACUUCUUGUGUUUCAAAUCAGAGAUUCACCAUGAAAUUAGUUUAUUCUAGUUUAUUUUUUUUAAAAUGUUCAGAUGUUCAAAAUUCAGUCACAUUGUCUAGUUUUGUUGUUUGAUUUGCAUUGACUUGUCCGUUGUGUUUGCCUUAAUUUGUAAGUCAUUAGAAACUUGUAGGUUUAAUUGAACAAUAAUGGAAACUUAAGGAGUUUGUUUGAAGGGUGGAUAAGUAUGGAAUAGGAUAAAAUCAUGUGGGAAGGUUCUAGAAUAGGGGCAGUUGGCUCUAUUUGGCCAGCAUAAAAAUGCUGAAACCAAUUAGAGGCUGCCAGCUGUCCCAUUUCUGUUAGGAAGAUGCUUUUAGGGGUUGUGUGAGGGAAUAAUUCCCGAUUUUUUCUAUUUCUCAGCACAUGGUAUUUUCAGUGGCUUAUAUAUAGAACCCUUCCCUUACUCCUUAGACAGAUUUGGAACCCUAGAAAAGACUAAAAACAUUCUGCAUUGUUUGAGUGAGAGCUGGAUUUUUUUCUUCUGAUUUUCUUUAGCAAAGAUUAUAAAAACAUUCCCUAGAUUUCUGUUUUUUUGGGCUUGGUUACAGAUUAAAUUGAAGUUGCUAUUGCUGUUGACUAACUGCUGAUCUUUAUUCAUUCUUAGCUUGAAGUUCUUAUUUCAUUCUCUUUUGCUGUAUCCAGGUAUGUUCAUGAGCUUGAUGUGAUAAAAAAUGGAAUUGUAGCAUGUUGAUUUGGAAUUUGACUCUCGAUUUAUACUUAGCUAAAUGUUUUUCUAUUGUUCUUCUUCAUUUGAAUAUGUAACUUCUUUUAGUCCUGCUUAAGUACUGUCGAUACUGAUGCUAAUGUAUUUAGAUGGUUUAGACAUUCAAGUUAUUUUAAUUCAUCUAUGUUGGUUUAACGAUUUACUAUAUUUAGUAGUUGUAAUUAUUUGGUACUUUGUUAAAGGUUAUUGAAUAUACAUUUAUGUGUGUGAAUUGUUGAGCAUGAUGGCGUGUGUAGAUUUAAAUUAGUCCAUGAAUGAGUUCAGGAGUCGAUCUCUUGUUGAUUGAUAUUAAUAGCAUGUUUAAACAAAUUAAUUCAUAAUAGUUGACUAAUACUCUACAUUUUUAGUAAUUGGAUAAUUGGUUUCUAUGCCCAAAAAAUGAAAUCAGGCACAAUCAAGGCCUAGACAUCAAAGGUCCUUUAUUUAAGAUAACUGGGCCUGGUAUUUGGCCUAGACGAGGCAGCUGGUUUUUAAACUAAGCCCCAUAUGAAUGACUUCUUUUUUCUUUCACUUUCUGGGCUCAAUUUUGGCCCAAGUAUUUUCAGCGCAUUUCUUCCUAAAAUUUCUGUUGAUAUAAUAAAGUUUUUUGCAACAUUGAAAGCCUGCCUUUAAAGGUUGGGCCUAGUACUGGCCCAAUGGAACUCGCCGGACUUAUCUUGGCCCUUUUGUCCUCACUCUUGGGCUCCACUUUGAGCCCAGUGCCUGCCAGCUGUUGUUCUUCUCUUAAAGACUUUUGCAUAUAACAAAUUGGGCCUACUGCUGGCCCACUUCUUCUCAAAACAAUUAAAAGCCUAAUAUAUUAUCCAAUGCAUAUUCACAAUCAGUAGCUACACAUUAAAUUUCAAACUUAAUUUUAAAUAUGAAUACCCAUGGUUUGCUUUAAUUUGAGUACAAAUUCUUUAAAUAAGUUGAGGUGUGCCACUCAAUCGCAUAGUCUACGGCCCUCACAUCAUUGUCUUAACUAAUGUAGAAAAAUGCUUUGAACUCUCGUAGUUUUCUUUAGGCGCGUUAAUUAAAUAAAUUAUCAUGGCUACGGGUACGGUUCCCGUGACAUAGUUGUGAUACUUAAUUUUCAAAUUUGGGGGUACAUUUAUGUGACCCGACCAUAACAACUAAUAAUGUCAACAAUUUAAACAUGUUGUGUGUCGUGGGUACGGUUCCCGUGACACGAUCCGCAAUGUGUACCAAACAAAUAAGUGUACAACAAUCGUAACUUGUUCCAGAAUAAUUCCAUAAAUAAUUAAAAGAGUCAAAAGCUAAAAAAGCAUGUAGGUUUUAAAUGUGUAAUUAAUAAGAUAAUUAGGCCAAUAACAAUAGUUGGGCGACCGUGCUAAAACCACGGAACCCGAGAAUGCCUAACAUCUUCUCCCGGGUUAACAAAAUCCCUUACCCGGAUUUCUGUGUUUCGCGAACUAUAAAACAGAGUCAAACAUACUUGAUUCUGGAUUUUAAACGGGUGACUUGGGACACUAUGAAUUAUCUCAAGUGGCGACCCUGAAUUUAAAAUAAAUAAUCUCAUUUUAAUUAUUGUCACUUUUAUUGGAAAACCUUCCCGAUACCCCUUUCGAGGUAGAAAAAGGAGGUGUGACAGCGAAGUUCGACGGAUUAUGUACCCAGCAGAGUGAUUUCAUUUUUGAAGGCCCUUCGUGAGGGAUGUUAGUGUAAAGACUCCUAUCAUUGAUUCAAUUUCGGUUCCGAUGGACUUUCCGGAUGUGUUUUCUGCAGACCUGUCGGGCAUGCCACCGGACAGAGAUAUUGAUUUUGGUAUUGAUUUGGUGCCGGGCACUCAGCCCAUUUCUAUUCCACCUAUCGUAUGGCAUCGACGGAGUUGAAGGAGGUGAAGGAGCAGCUUCAGGAGCUCCUUGAUAAGGGGUUUAUUCGGCCUAGUGUGUCACCGUGGGGUGCGCCUAUCUUAUUUGUGAAGAAGAAGGAUGUCACUAUGAGAAUGCACAUCGAUUACAGGCAGCUGAACAAGGUCACAAUCAAAAAAAGUAUACUUUGCCUCGUAUUGAUGAUUUAUUUUACCAGCUUUAGGGAGCGAGAGUGUUCUCUAAGAUUGAUCUCCGUUCAGGGUAUCACCAGUUGAAGAUCAGGGACUCGAACAUUCUUAAGACAGCCUUCAAGACCGGUUAUGGUCAUUAUGAGUUCCUUGUGAUGUCUUUUGGGCUGACUAAUGCCCCAACAGCGUUCAUGCAUUUGAUGAACAAUGUGUUUCGACCUUAUCUCGACUCUUUUGUCAUUGUAUUCAUUGAUGAUUUUCUGAUGUACUCGCGUAGUCAGGAGGAGAAUGCGGAGCAUUUGAGAGUCGUGUUGCAGCGAUUGAGAGAGGAGAAACUUUAUGCAAAGUUCUCCAAGUGUGAGUUUUGGCUCAGUUCAGUGACUUUCUUGGGACACGUGGUGUCCAGUGAGGGUAUUCAGGUUGAUCCGAAGAAGAUAGAGGCAGUUCAGAGUUGGCCCAGACCGUCCUCAGCCACAAAGAUUCGCAAUUUUCUUGGUUUGGCGGGCUAUAACUGUCGGUUCGUUUAGGGAUUUUUAUCUAUAGCAUCACCCAUGAACAAAUUGACUCAAAAGUGUGCUCCUUUCAUGUGGUCGAAUGAGUGUGAGAUGAGCUUUCAGAAGCUCAAGAUUGCCUUAACCACAACUUCAGUGUUAGUUUUUUCAUCAGCUUCGGGUUCAUAUACAGUGUAUUGUGAUGUAUCGAGAAUUGGUAUUGGGUAUGUGUUGAUGUAGGAGGGUAGAGUGAUUGCUUAUGCUUAUCGUCAGUUGAAGCCACAUGAGAAGAACUACCCCGUUCAUGAUUUGGAAUUGGCUGCCAUUGUCCACACGUUGAAGAUUUGGAGGCAUUAUCUCUAUGGUGUGUCUUGUGAGGUGUUUACUGAUCAUCGUAUCCUCCAGCACUUGUUCAAGCAGAAGGAUCUCAAUUUGAGGUAGCGGAGAUGGUUAGAGCUGCAAAAGGAUUAUGAUAUUACUAUCUUGUACCAUCCGAGGAAGCAAUGUAGUGGUCGAUGCUUUGAGUAGGAAGGUGGUGAGUAUGGGCAUUCUUACAUUUAUUCCUAUUGGGGAGAGACCUCUUGCAGUUGAUGGUCAGACCUUGGCCAAUCCGUUUGUGAGGUUGGAUAUUUCGGAGCCCAGUCGGGUCUUAUCUUGUGUGAUUUCUUGGUCUUCCUUGUUCGAUCGCAUCAGAGAGUGCCAGUAUGAUGAUCCUUAUUUGCUUGUCCUUAAGGACAAAGUUUAGCACGAUGAUGCCAAGGAUGUGACUAUUGGUGAUGAUGGAGUAUUGAGGAUGCAGGGCCGGAUAGAUGUGCCCAAUGUAGAUGGGCUUGGGGAGUUGAUUUUGGAGGCGACCCAUAUAUAGCUCGCGGUAUUCCAUCCAUCCAGGUGACGCAAAACUGUAUCAGGAUUUGAGACAACAUUAUUGGUGGAGAAGAAUAAAGAAGGAUAUUGUGGAAUUUGUAGUUCAGUGUCUCAAUUGUCAGCAGGUGAAAUAUGAGCAUCAGAGACCAAGCGGCUUGCUUCAGCAGAUAGAUAUUCCAGAGUGGAAGUGGGAGCGGAUCACCAUGGACUUUGUAGUUGGACUCCCACAGACUUUGAAGAAGUUCGAUGCUAUUUGAGUGAUUAUGGAUCGGCUGACCAAGUCCGUGCACUUCAUUCUUGUGUGUACUACCUAUUCUUCAUAGCGGUUAGCAGAGAUUUAUAUCCGAGAGAUUGUUCGCUUGCAUAGUGUCCCAGUUUACAUUAUUUCAGAUAGAGGUAAUUAGUUUACUUCAUAGUUUUGGAGGGUCGUGCAGCGAGAGUUGGGUACUCAGGCUGAAUUGAGCACAACUUUUCACCCUCAGACGGACGGGCAGUCCGAGAGCACUAUUUAGAUAUUGGAGGACAUGUUGCGCACUUGUGUCAUUAAUUUUGGAGGGUUAUGGGAUCAGUUUCUGCCACUUGCAGAGUUUGCUCAUACCAGUAGUUAUCAGUUGAGUAUUCAGAUGACUCCAUAUGAGGCUUUAUAUGGGAGGCGGUGUAGAUCUCCAGUUGGUUGGUUUGAACUGGGUGAGGCUAGGCUUAGGGGUACAGACUUAGUGCAGGAUGCUUUGGACAAGGUAAAGGUGAUUCAGGAGCGGCUUCGUACAGUGCAAUCCAAACAAAAGAGUUAUGCUGUCACAGGAAGGUCCGUGAUGUGUCUUACAUGGUUGGGGAGAAGGUUCUACUGAAGGUUUCACCCAUGAAGGGUGUUAUGAGAUUUGGGGAGAAUGGUAAAUUGAGUCCUCGGUUCAUUGGGCAUUUUGAGGUGCUUCGGAGGUUGAGGAGGUGGCUUAUAAGCUUGUUUUGCCACCUAGCUUGUCAAGUGUGCAUCCGGUAUUUCAUGUUUCUAUACUCCCGAAGUAUAUUGGCGAUCCAUCUCAUGUUUUGGAUUUCAGCACGGUUCAGUUGGGCGAUAAUUUGACUUAUGAUGUGGAGCCAAUGGCUAUUUUGGAGCGUCAGGUUCGAAAGUUGAGAUCAAAGUAUAUAGCUUCAGUGAAAGUGCAGUGGAGAGGUCGGCCCAUGGAGGAGGCUACCUGGGAGACCGAGCGAGAGAUGCGGAGCAGAUACCCUCACCUAUUUGAGGCUUUAGGUAUAUUUCUUGGCCCUUUCGAGGACGAACUUUUGUUUAAGAGGGGGAGGAUAUAACGACCCGGUCGGUCGUUUCAUGAGUUACCGCUAUGUUUCCCCCAUUUCUGCUUCUUUAUGUCUUGUUCAGCUAUAUACUAUGUGGUAUCAAGUUGGUUGGUUCGGGUUCGGGGUGGUUUUAUAGAGGAAUGAGAUACUUAGUCUCUUUUGAGUAAGCUUAAGUUGGGAAAAAAAGUCAAGCGAAUGUUGACUUAUGGGUAGAAGGCCUCGGAUGUGAAUUUUCAUGGUUCGAAUAGCUUCGUUACGUGAUUUGGGACUUAAGAAUAUGAUCGGAAUGUGUUUGGAGGUCCGUGGAAGAUUUAGGCUUGAAUUGGCAAAAUUAGAAAUUUGGAAUUUCCUGUCAGCAAUGGAAAUUUCGAUAUCCAGGUCGGAAUGGAAUUCCUGAAAUUGGAGUAGGUCCUUUAUGUCAUUUGGGAUGUGUGUGAAAAAUUUCAGGUCAUUCAGACGAGGUUUGAUAGACUUUUUGAUCGAUUGCGAAAUUUGAAAUGUUUUAAGUUCUUAGGCUUGAAUCCAAGGUUGAUUUGGUGUUUUGUCAUUGUUUUGAGUGUUCCGAAGGUUGGAACAAGUUUGAAUGAUGUUAUGAAAUGUAUUGGCAUGUUUGAUUGAGGUCCCGAGGGCCUCAGAUAAGUUUCGGGUGGUUAACAGACCAAUUCUUGGUUUUGGAGAGUUGCAGAUUUUACUAGUUUUUGUUGCAAAAGAAUUUGUUUUUCGCGUUCGCGAAGAUAGUCCCGCGUUCGCGAAGAAGAGCUAGGCCUAGAGGAGAAAAUGUUCUUCACAUUUGCGAGUCUGGGGUCGCGUUCGUAUGGUUUUGGAUUCCAGUGAACCGUGAACGCAUGAGAGGAGUCGCGUUCGCGUAGGGUAAUUGGAGCACCUGGGACCCCAAGAGUUUUUGCAUCGCGUUCGCAUAGGUAAGGUCGCGUUCGCGAAGGCUUGGACAGCUGAGGCCUCGUGUUCGCGUGAAGGAAGUCGCGUUCGCGAAAGAGGAUUUAUUUGGUCAGUAAUUUUUGUGCUUCGCGAACGCGAGGCCUUGGCCGCAUUAGCAAAGAAGGAAAUUAUACCUGGGCAGAAGGUUUAAAUAGAGGUCUUCGCGAUUUUUAGCCAUUUUUCACCAUUGUUGAGCGGUUUUGAAGCUUUUUGAGAGGGAUUGAAAGAGGGAUUCGAAGGCAAACGCUUGGAGGUAAGAUUUUUGAACCCAAUACUCGAUUCUAUGGUGAUUUCUAACUGAUUAGACAUGAAAUUAGUGAGAUUUAAAACCUAAACUUGGGGAAUUAGGGUUUAAAUUGGAGAGUGUAAAUUGGGGAUUUGAGGGGUCAUUUGAGGUCCGAUUCUAAUAUUCUUGGUAUGUAUGGACGCGUGGGAGGAUAUGGAUUUUAUUAAUGUAACUUUUAUCGGAUUUUGAGAUGCGAGCUAGGGGUCGAGUUUGACCAAUUUCGGGAUUUUGAUGUAAUUUGAUUAUUUUCGCGUGAGCUUUGUUCCCUUAGCAUACAUUGAUGUUACGAUUCUGAUUUUGGUUAGAUUCGGGGCAUUUGGAGACCAAAUCGAGAGACAAGGGCAUCGUGGGCUAGAGUUUGGCUUGGCUUGAGGUAAGUAACGCUUCCAAACUUGGUUCUAAAGGUUCGAAACCUCGAACUAUGUGUUCUAUGAUAACUAUUGAGGUGACACAAAAUACCAAGUGAUGGGCGUGUGGGUGUGCACCAUCAGAAGUGCAGCCUAGAUCAUUCCAUGGCACCGCUUAGUAACUCUUUCUUGUUGAUAUCCAUGUUCCUAUCAUGUGAUUAAGUAUAUGUGCUUUGAAAAUAUGCUAGAUAUCCUAUAAGGGCUUCACGCCGAUACUGUUGAGACUCGAGGGAUCGUUUCUUGCUGUCAUAUCAUUAGCUUUAUUGAUAUUUAGUACUCAGUCAUGUUCAUGCAUAUUAUAUCAUGUCUCAGUCUCAGUUAUAUUAUUUGGCACAUUAUAUCAUUGUUUCGGGCUAGUUUUAUGACAUUGUGAGCCCGUGAGUGUGAGACCGGAGAGUGAUGACUAAGCGAGGCCGAGAGUCUAAUUAUGAGUGACAGUUAUGGGAUCCGGCGACACGUCGCAGCGGUUAUGUUGAUGAUUAUGAUAACGCUUGGCCUGUAGGAGCUCCUCCGGAGUCUGUAACACCCCCCAAUAAGUGUAGUUGAUGAUAUUGAGGGAUGGAUCUUCCCUGGACAUGAAUCUUGUCCUAAGUAUUUAUACCUGGAGAUGGAUAUUCCCAUAGGGCUGGAAUGGCCUUCCUCGGUACUGGAUGACUGCGGUCAGUGAUGUAUAUAUUCCGAGAUGGAUCUUUCCUGGACCAGAUGGCCAUAUAUACAGUAUCGAGUGGUUGAGCACUUAUGAGUGAAGGUACAUGGAACAUUGAUCAUGCUAGUUGUGUAUUGGUACGUAGAGAGUUCCUGAGUUUUAUACUCCGUACUGUUCAGAAUGCAUUUAUUUAUUGUUGAGUUUUUACUUGAACUGCAAGCAUGUCUACUUUUCUGUACAGUUAAUGAUAUUACCUGUUGAGGUUUGGUUUGUCACUACCUGUCAGUCCAUAGUUUGGACUUGUUACUUACUAAGUUGGUGUACUCACAUUACUCCCUGCACCUUGUGUGCAGAUCCAAGUAUCUCGGGUCACGGUAGCGGUUGCUGAUCAUUUCAGUGGUGGACUUUCCUUGGAGAUAGCGAGGUAGCUGCCUGGCGAUCGCAGUCCUGCCCUCUCCUUCCUUAUCUUCCUCUUAGUAUAUUUGUUGGAUAUUCUCGGACUAUGUUAGUUUUGUUUUGAUUUCUACUUUUACCUUUUAUCGGAAUUCUGUUAAAAAUAAGAUUUUUCUUAAGUUCUAAAUGAAAUAUGGAGUAUUUGAAAAUAAGUUGGCUGGCCUAGUUUCACGAUAGGCGCCAUCACGAUCGGGUCGAUUUUUGGGUCGUGAUAGGACACUCAACCCAUUUCUAUUCUGCCAUAUCGUAUGGCCCCGCCAGAGUUGAAAGAAUUGAAAGAACAGUUGCAAGACUUGCUUGAUAAGGGCUUUAUCAGACCUAGUGUCUUGCCCAGGGGUGCGUCGUUGUUGUUUUUUAAGAAAAAGGAUGGGUCGAUGAUGAUGUACAUAGACUAUCGACAAUUGAACAAAGUCUCCAGAAAGAACAAGUAUCCAUUGCCAAGGAUUGAUGAUUUGUUUGACCGCUUCAGGGUGCCAAGAUAUUUUUGAAGAUUGAUUUGAGAUUUGGAUAUCAUCAGUUUAGGAUUUGGGCAUCCGAUGUCCCUAAGACAGCUUUUCGCACUCGGUACGGGCAUUAAGAGUUCUUAGUGAUGUCAUUUGGGUUGACAAAUGCCCCAGCAACUUUUAUGGAUUUGAUGAAUCGGGUGUUCAAGCCUUAUAUGGAUUCAUUUGUGAUUGUUUUCAUUGAUGAUAUCUUGAUCUACUCCCGCAGCCAAGAGGAGCACGAGUAGCAUCUUCGAGUCGUUCUCCAGACUCUGAGAGAUAGUCAGUUGUAUGCUAAGUUUUUGAAAUGUGAGUUUUGGUUGAGUUUAGUAGCAUUCCUGGGUCACAUCGUAUCAGCAGAGGGUAUUCAGGUGGAUCCUAAGAAGAUUGAGGCAGUCAAGGACUGGCCUAGACCCACAUCAGCUACAGAGAUCCGGAGUUUCUUGGGUUUGGCGGGUUAUUACCAUCGCUUUGUGGAGGGGUUUCAUAUAUAGCAGCCCUGAUGACCAGGUUGACCCAAAAGGGUGCCUAGUUCAGGUGGUCGGACGAGUGUGAGGCGAGCUUUUCAGAAGAUCAAGUCACCUUUGACUACUAUGUCGGUGUUGGUAUUGCCCACAGGUUCAAGGCCAUAUACAGUAUAUUGUGAUGCAUCUCAUAUUGGAAUUGGUGCGGUGUUGAUGCAGAAUGGCAAGGUUAUUACAUACGCUUCGCGGCAUUUGAAGAUUCACAAGAAGAAUUACCUAGUUCAUAAUUUGGAGCUAGAAGCCAUUAUUCACACGCUGAAGAUUUGGAGCCACUAUUUAUAUGGCGUGUCAUGUGAGGUGUUCACGGAUCACAAGAGUUUGUAAUACUUGUUCAAGAAAAAGGAGCUAAAUUUGAGGCAGAUGAGGUGGUUGGAGCUGUUGAAAGACUAUGAUAUCAUCAUCUUGUAUCAUCCUGGGAAGGCCAAUGUGGUGGACGAUGCUUUGAGCAGGAAGUCAGCCAGUAUGGGCAGCCUUGCGUAUAUUCCAGUCGGUGAGAGACCGCUUGCUUUGGAUGUUCAGGAUUUAGCCAAUCAGUUCGUGAGGUUGGAUGUUUCUGAGCCCAGCCGUGUUCUAGCUUGCACAGUCGGUUGUUCUUCAUUAUUUGAGCGUAUCAUAGAUCGGCAGUAUGAUGAUCCUUAUUUGCUUGUCUUUAGAGACACAGUGUGGCAUGCAAGUGCCAAGUAGGUUACAGUUGGAGAUGACGGAGUUUUAAGGAUGCAGGGUUUAGUUUGUGUGCCUAAUGUGGAUGGACUUCGUAAGUUAAUUCUAGAGGAGGCCCAUAGUUUCUGGUAUUCUAUUCAUCCAGGCACCGCUAAGAUGUAUCAGGACUUGCGGCAGCAUUAUUGGUGGAGGAGGAUGAUCAAGGAUAUUGUUGCGUAUGUAGCUCGGUGUUUGAAUUGUCAACAUGUAAAGUACGAGCAUCAGAGACCUGGUGGUUUGCUUCAGAAGAUUGAGAUUCCUGAGUGGAAGUGGGAGCGUAUCGCUAUGGACUUCGUUGUUGGACUCCCACGGACUUAGAGGAAGUUCGACGCAGUAUGGGUUAUUGUAGAUAGGCUGACUAAGUCAGCGCAUUUUAUUCCUGUGGCAGUUUCCUAUUCUUCUGAGCGGUUGGCAGAGAUUUAUAUUCGUGAGAUCGUUCAUCUUCAUGGUGUGCACGUGUAUAUCAUUUCUGACCGAGGUAUGCAUUCUACAUCGCAUUCUAGAGGGAAGUACAACGUGAGUUGGGUACGCAGGUCGAGUUGAGCAGAUCAUUUCAUCCUCAGACGGACGGACAGUCCGAGUGUCGCUCCCCGUUUUCUCGUGAAAGCGGGCUUAGACAUGUGACAACUCUUUUAAAUGAAGGUUUUUAAAAUAGAAGAGUCGCCACCUAACGAUUUUAAGGUGCAUUAGAGUACCUAUUUGCAGAUAACUCUGUUUGACUAGUCUACGUUACCAAAGAUCAGGUAAGGGCUCAAAUUACCUCAAAGAGAAGGUGUUAGGCACUCUUCGAGGUCCACAUUUAUGGUUCCCGACCGAAUUUUAAACUAUGUGGGAUUAUUGGGUUAAGCAUAACUAUGCGACAAUAAAGAAAUUAAAUAAACUAAGUUGCUCAUUUUUAUGUCUUUAAAACAAGAUGUGGAAUCCUAUUUUCCCGAAGAAAAUUAAAUUAAACUAGAUGCAAAACAUAUACUUUACAUAACGAUCUUUACUAGAUGCAAGGCCAUAUGUGAUCAAUAAGUAUGUAACUGCAAACUAGCUAGGUGCCAAUCCUAAUUUUUAAACUGAAAAUCACAUUGAGGGUAAAUUAUAUAGAAAAAUAAAUAAACAUGCAAACAAAUAUCAAAUAAGCGCAUAAUAAAAUAUUGAGAGUGCAUAAGAGAGCAAAAAUAAAUGACUAACCUCCCUCCAAGGGAUUUAAAGUAAGCAUCUUAUGGACAUUUAGAACUCUUAAAUUGGUCACCAAAGAAGCAGAAACAGGUAAGUGGGUAGACUUCUUUUCCUCGAUGGCGAGUUGCCAACGAAUUCUUGUGGUAAUCGCGGCUCAAACACAAGGAAAGAAAAAAAAGUUAUUAAUAAAAUGUGCGCCACCUUAAGGGCAUGGCUUUAUGACAAUUGUUAAUCACAUGCCAUUCAACCUUGGUGGCGAGUUUAAUGUUGAGGUCAAAUUAAUAUAUAAAUAAGUAAAGCACACGUAGUUUGACUAGCCGGUUGAAAAGGAGUAUCAGGCAGGUAAUAAGUAAUUUAGUAAACGAAAACAUGCCAGACCUCACAAAUAUUGCAACAAGUUCACAUAAUAAGCGAAUAUUCUUACAGUGAAGAAGAUCAAAUUAAUAAAUAAAAAAAAUUAAAAAAGAAAGACCGACCUAGUCACUUUUAAAAAAGUACUGCUGUGUAUUGGUUCGAGGACUCGACCUCAAUGUCCUUAGCCUCUCACAAAUUAUUGAUUAACUUAGAGAGGGCUCACGCACAUUUAGCACAAAAAAAUAAAUACAUGAAGAGGUUGAACUAGAACGACUAAUCAGAUUGAUGCUAAGUAUUGUUGCUAGACGUGUUACUUUUCUAGAAAGUUGAAAAUAGAAGCAAACUACCAUAUUUAUCUAGUCUUAAAUAAAAGAAGUAGAGAGGUGACAUUUAGAUAUAUCCUCAUGAACCUUUUAAAGAUUCUUUUAGUUUUACAUGAUCUAUACAAAGAGCACCACCAACUAGUGAAACAAAAGUAAAUACAUAGAAAGAUAAAAACUAGCUUUAUAAAGUCACUUCUUAUAAUCAACUUAAUUAUUCCUACUUAGUUUUUUAACAAAUCUGAUUCUCAUUAACUUUAUUACAAAAUGACACAUUCUCUUGAACCUAGUAGAGCAGUCGAGAAUAGCUAAGCAUGAAAUGAUGAAACAAUAUGCACAAAGUAAAAAAGGAAAACUAUUCCAAUAAUGUGAAUACGCUAUAGCGACUACCAAAAUUUCCUUAACACAUAUGCGCAAUUACUGACAAGCAAAUUUUACAAAGCAAAAAUACCAGAUAAAUAUCAUAUAGUUAACUCAAAGAUUAAUCAAACAAUCAUAGAGUAGUAUUGGAGAAAAUUAAAGGGAAGCCGAGCCGAACUUUUGAAUCCUGACAACGAAUAUAGAAAGUCAUAAAUAUCGAACUUCAUAUUUAUAAGGGAAUUGUACCGUGACAGCAAUAGCGGGUAGAUUUUGAGGGUAGAGCCAUGUUUUAGCAAUUCCUAAACAUCAUCGGCCGAACAACGAAGCAACAACGUAAAUUGCAGCAAGAGACAUAAUUGUGAAAGCGGAUUCCAAGCGAGUUUUCAAUGCAAGUGAGUGCAGUGACAAACAGUGAAAGGGGAGAUUAAUAAGAUGGUGAAGAUAAGUGGAGAAAUUAAAGAAAAUUAAGGAUAGUGGGGAUGCGUUUGAGGCGCGAUAGUGGAAGAGGUCGAUGGAAGAACAAUAGAGUUGAUAGAAAAAAAUGUGGAAGAUGAUUGUCUUCUUUUUCUUUUAUUGUAGAGAGAUGAAGAAGAGGGUAUAUGUCAUCCCCCUCUGUGUGAAAAAAUCAUGAUAUUUAAGAGAAGACAUGAGGAAAAAAACGUUAGGGAGAGUGACAAUUUUUAUGGAAAAGGAGUGAUUUUGGGGAGUGAUCCGUUUGAGAUUAUAUUAGGAAAAUUAAC